UUUCCCCCCACCAACCAAAAGAACAAGAGCUAUGAAACACUUAAGCCCUAGAUGAAGUGUGUAAAGGCUGAGGACUUGGGGAGCUACAUAUGCCCAAGCUGUCCAGCAACAUACUUAGCUGACGGAGCUGACAGAUUGUGCAAUUUUGCUGAGGUAAUUACUCAAUGGUUCAGCAAAUGGUGGCAAGGAUGGAUGAGUAGAGAAGACAAUAGAGCCCAGGACUGCCUAUUCAACAAUAUCCUAUUAUCUGGAAUUUCAAGGCCAAAGCUUGAGACAGUGGAUUCUUGGGACAGCGUAGGGCAAGAUUUUACGAUGUCAUAGAGGCAGGUCAGUAAAGGGUUGGUUGAAAUGGCAUGAUGGGCCCUAUGUCACAGGAAGGCUGCACUGGCCAUCCCAAAAGCUCAAAAAUACCAGAAAGGAAGGAAGGAAGG
rnacentral:lncRNA from 1 species